CUACGGAGGAUCCGAGCGUUAUCCGGAUUUAUUGGGUUUAAAGGGUGCGCAGGCGGCCAUUUAAGUCAGCGGUUAAAUCGUGGGGCUCAACCCCAUUCUGCCGUUGAUACUGGGUGGCUUGAUUGCGGUCGAGGUUGGCGGAAUUCGUUGUGUAGCGGUGAAAUGCAUAGAUAUGACGAAGAACACCGAUUGCGUAGGCAGCUGACCAGACCGCAAAUGACGCUCAUGCACGAAAGUGCGGGGAUCGAACAGGAUUAGAUACCCUGGUAGUCCGCACAGUAAACGAUGAAUACUUGUUUUCGGCGAUAUAAUGUCGGAGGCAAAGCGAAAGCGAUAAGUAUUCCACCUGGGGAGUACGCCGGCAACGGUGAAACUCAAAUGAAUUGACGGGG
rnacentral:rRNA from 1 species